rnacentral:rRNA from 1 species
CGCUAGCUACAGGCUUAACACAUGCAAGUCGAGGGGCAGCAUGAAGUUUGCUUGCAAACUUUGAUGGCGACCGGCGCACGGGUGAGUAACACGUAUCCAACCUGCCUUCCACUCGGGAAUAGCCUUUCGAAAGAAAGAUUAAUGUCCGAUGGUACUGGUUUCUCGCAUGAGAGACUUUUUAAAGAAUUUCGGUGGAAGAUGGGGAUGCGUUCCAUUAGGCAGUUGGCGGGGUAACGGCCCACCAAACCGACGAUGGAUAGGGGUUCUGAGAGGAAGGUCCCCCACAUUGGAACUGAGACACGGUCCAAACUCCUACGGGAGGCAGCAGUGAGGAAUAUUGGUCAAUGGACGAGAGUCUGAACCAGCCAAGUAGCGUGAAGGAUGACUGCCCUAUGGGUUGUAAACUUCUUUUAUACGGGAAUAAAGUGAAGCACGUGUGCUUUUUUGUAUGUACCGUAUGAAUAAGGAUCGGCUAACUCCGUGCCAGCAGCCGCGGUAAUACGGAGGAUCCGAGCGUUAUCCGGAUUUAUUGGGUUUAAAGGGAGCGUAGGCGGAAGUUUAAGUCAGUUGUGAAAGUUUGCGGCUCAACCGUAAAAUUGCAGUUGAUACUGGAUUUCUUGAGUGCGGUAUAGGUAGGCGGAAGUCGUGGUGUAGCGGUGAAAUGCUUAGAUAUCACGAAAAAGUCCGAUUG